rnacentral:lncRNA from 1 species
AAUGUAUUUAGAGAGGGAUGGGGAGACGAUCGAGAAGUGGGGGGGGAUAAUUGGCCGUGGCAUAGUGCUUUUUGGUUUUGGAUAUAUAUAUAGUUGAGCUAGAAUACUAUCGGUAGUAAACGAGCCGUUUUACUACCGAUUUAUUUUCGAUGAUAGAGCUUCCAAAUUGACGAUCGGCUCCGUUAAAUAUGAUCUAAACCAUUUAAACUGCCUAGAAAUUAAAUUUCACGCAUUUUCGAUAUUGUUCUUUUAUCCAUCAAGUGAACAGAAAAAUGAAUGGCUGAAAAUGAAUAAUUUUUAAAAAAUGAUGAUAGAAGUCUUGUAAUCAAGAUCAAGAGUAUAGAUCUUGUUUUAAAUAGUUUAAAGAAUUUUCUAACAAAAAUUCAAUU